rnacentral:lncRNA from 1 species
CUUAGAUUAGAAAUCCUUAUACAUUCCAUAUUUAUGAUCUAAUUAUUUCUUUUACAGAGCCAAGGAGAGAAGGUGAAGAAGGGAAGGGAUGAGAUGUGUGGAAAAGGAUCGAUGAAAAGCAAUUAGGUGACUGGGGCCUGCUCCCUUGGGAGCCUGGAAGCUGGCUGUAUUUGGGAUCUGAUUUUAGCUGAGCAUCUCAUGAAUUCCUCAAAGCGUGGGAGGACUCGUGUCAAAAUCUGAGCUGUGUGGGAAUUGUGAUUUCAUCGAGUAUCCUGGCAACAUCACCCGCCCCCGGAGCAGGAGCUAAGAGAGACUGUAAAAAAAGCACAUGCAUGUCAGAGAACAAAGACCUCCAAAUAGGCUUUCCUGGAUCAAAAGAAGACAGCAUCUGGGGCAGCAGUUGUAUGUAUUGUGUUCCUGCAGGGGCAUAUGACAGAGACAGACAAACAUGUGUUCCCUCAACAUUGAGGAGACAGCUCCUAGAAUGAUCCCUCUAGAAAAUUCAGAAAUCUUGAAUUCUACCUAAAGAGGAAAAUAUUUUGAGCUUUUUGUCUCUUAUUGAGAGAAGAGGAUCUUGUACUUUGCUCUAGAAAAUGGGAAAAAGAAUUAGAAGGAGCAAAAAGCCAUGAGAUGGACCUGGACUUUGCACUCUGAGAUUACAGUGAGUUAUUCAG